GAUGAAGAACGUAGCGAAAUGCGAUAAGUAAUGUGAAUUGCAGAAUUCAGUGAAUCAUCGAAUCUUUGAACGCACAUUGCGCCCCCUGGUAUUCCGGGGGGCAUGCCUGUCCGAGCGUCAUUACAACCCUCAAGCUCAGCUUGGUAUUGGGCCCCGCCGCUCCGGCGGGCCCUAAAGUCAGUGGCGGUGCCGUCCGGCUCCGAGCGUAGUAAUUCUUCUCGCUAUGGAGUCCUGGUGGAUGCUUGCCAUCAACCCCCAAUUUUUCUAUGGUUGACCUCGGAUCAGGUAGGGAUACCCGCUGAACUUAAGCAUAUCAAUAAGCGGAGGA
rnacentral:misc_RNA from 1 species